AUUGAACGCUGGCGGCAUGCUUUACACAUGCAAGUCGAACGGCAGCGCGGGCUUCGGCCUGGCGGCGAGUGGCGAACGGGUGAGUAAUACAUCGGAACGUGCCCAGUAGUGGGGGAUAGCUCGGCGAAAGCCGGAUUAAUACCGCAUACGACCUGAGGGUGAAAGCGGGGGAUCUUCGGACCUCGCGCUAUUGGAGCGGCCGAUGGCAGAUUAGCUAGUUGGUGGGGUAAAGGCCUACCAAGGCGACGAUCUGUAGCUGGUCUGAGAGGACGACCAGCCACACUGGGACUGAGACCCGGCCCAGACUCCUACGGGAGGCAGCAGUGGGGAAUUUUGGACAAUGGGCGAAAGCCUGAUCCAGCAAUGCCGCGUGUGUGAUGAAGGCCUUCGGGUUGUAAAGCACUUUUGGCGGGAACGAAAAGGACUGUGCCAAUACCACGGUUCGAUGACGGUACCCGCAGAAUAAGCACCGGCUAACUACGU
rnacentral:rRNA from 1 species